rnacentral:lncRNA from 1 species
UUCAAACAACCGUCUAUUUUAUAAUUCUUUAUUGAUAGAUUAUUUCUACACAAAAUAUUUCAAUUGGAAACAAUUACAUAAUUAUAGUUGGUAAACCCACACACAAUCCUAUUUCCUCACCCCAUCUUAUAUUCUCACCCCUCGUAAAAGCAUUAUUUUUCUACCCACAAAUAUCCCUAAAAUAUCCUUGCAUCAAUUUAACUAUUUUCCAAAAAUUUAAAGUUAAAGCUGAAAAUAACAAAUCACCCCACCCAACUAUACCACCAGAUCCCCACAUCGCCCCACACAAUUUGAUAGCAAACCCCUUUCACCAUGCGUCUUGAACCCACCCUUGAGCACCUUUUGCUUGUUGAGGGCUUCAGGUGUGACGCCGCGCUCUGUUGUCAGUGUAGGAGACUACGAAAAAAUAGUCUCAUCUUCGGUCUUCCCCCUCAUCGCAUUAAUAUCGACGAAGAAUCUGUUGGAUUUCCAAAACGCUUUUCCCUGACAAAUUUCAAUGACGUCAUUUGGAUUCAAAACAAAAGAAGUUCGGAAACGAGUUUUUAAAAUUUUGAUCGGAAAUGAUUCAGAGGAAAUGUGUUUCCUAAAAUUGAUGGUUGGGCUCUUCCCUUUUCUUCUUAUUUUUAUU